rnacentral:lncRNA from 1 species
AUAGUAUCCAUUCACAAUAUGAGCUUUCAUGAAAAUAUAUCUUUCGUCCACUGUUAAUGAUUGAAAUUUAGACCUAGCUGAAUGAGGUAACUGAUUAAACGCAGCGUCCACCGGAAUAAACAAGGUGGACGCCAAUGGUACCGUCAAUUCCACAUCAAUUUGUAGCGACGAAAUGAUUCCGGCAGCUACAUUCAAACUGUCAGCCCCCGUCCCCGCUGCCUGACUCGUCAUGACCUCACUAACGUUGAGGUCGAAGACGGAUAGUGUGGGGGAAAAUAGUGAAAUUAAAAUCAAAAUUAAAACAGUGAGGGUUUGUGACGAAGCCAUUGUUUGUAAGAUGAAGAAAAAUAAGAAACAGAGAGAGUAGGAGUGUGACCGUUUGGAGAGUUCCGGAGAUUGACGGUUACGGCGAUGCGGUGAAAUGUGAAGCGGAGAUUGACAGAGAAAUGCG